GUUCCCUCCGAAGUUUCCCUCA
rnacentral:snRNA from 1 species